ensembl:lncRNA
CCCUCAUCUACAAUCAUGCUCACCUGGUCUUCAUCCCCAAUCAACCCCCUUCAUAAACCCUUGGAUUCCCUGCUGUCGGCGCCAGAUCGUACUACGCAGUACCGAGUUACCCGGAUCACUCACUCCAGCUCGCCCACAUCGCUCUUCCCCCGGCUCCCUUAUCCACUACCUGCUUCCCACAUAAACCCCUUUUUAUCCCUUCAACAUCGUAUCUGUCUGCUCUUGGGUUCAGCAUCGUCUACCAUAUCAAAGAAGGGCAUUGUCCUGCCUCUGACAGGACACUGCUCUGCAGUGACCUCUUCAGCAGUGAGGACUUUGACAGGAUGGGGCCGACUGUCCGGCUUAAAGAUGGUGUUGUGCCAACCCUUUUCAACUUUCCAGCUCAUCUUCAAAGGACCACUGUUAAAAGAGCGGAAGACAACCUGGCAACGGACUUGAUGCCUGAUGUUGGAGUUACUGGAGAGAGGAGAUUGAGCCGCAAGCGGCAGGUCAUUGACGACCACUUGUAUGCAUUGCCUGUUUGCCCUACGGCUAUGAAGGCCAAACUUUAAGAAGCCUCAGCGAGAGUGAGGAAACUGCAGCGGGAGAAGAUCAAUGGCUUCAGGAGAGAAAACAGAACAACAUGCAGGCUGUUCUGGAGGAACUGAAGGAGAAAAAUCUCAUCAACGAAGAGCUGAAAGACGAGCUUGAAUGCCACUCAGAUCUUCCGGUUCAUCUCCUGUUGAGGCAGGGCGUAGAGUACACCAAGGCCCAGAGAGAUUCUGCCCUAACGCUCCAUCUGCAUGGUCCAAAGGCAUAUCACUUCCUGAGAGAUACUCUGCACAUUCACCUGCCACAUCCCAAUUCAUUGCAGAGGAGGCUGGAAUAACAACCCUAAUGCUGGCCAGUUCAAAUACAUCUUCAGAAAGCUGAUGGCCCAGUGUGGAGUUGUUAAACCAUGCAGAGGCAAUGUGACUGCACCGGAUGAGACAGUCCCUAUCAGCGGUCAUCGACACCUCUACAAGCCUGUCAGCUGUAGAUAUGUCCUCUCUAGCAGGAGGAGAAGAUCUUCCAUCCCCGUUUGCUGACAUUCCUGCCCUAGUACAUGACCACAGCUACCUUCCCGUCCGCUACGAUGGUCUUGUGGACAACUCUCUCGUGUACAUUUCUAGUGCCAAUAGUCAACUCUGAUUUGUUGUGAGACGGGCUCUGAAGAAGGUGUACUGUGAUGUGUCUGCCGUGCCAGCCUGACAGACGCUGCAUCUGCCAUCAAGAACCAGAGCUACCACCUGGCACAGUGAGGGUCGUCAGGGCAGCAGAGUGGGUCAUUCGCCAGGCAUCAGCUAGCUUCAGACCAUCACAGCCCAUCAAACUGCUAGAGGUCUUGUACAUUGUACGGAUGUGGAUCGGGUCAGAGGAUGUGUUGGUGCUCAGGGAGCACAUCGGCAACACGCAGACAGCCACCACAAUACACUGCUAACACUAGUUGUGUCCUUGUUUUUUAAGCUAAGGCUACAUUACAUCGCUCAAAUGACCACACUAAGCUCACAGAGCAACAACAUGCGACAGAAGCUCAAUAAAACAGUCCUUUUCAAAGGGCAUUAGCCCAAUGUUACGACCCUGGUGGGUCUCUCAUUGGGCCCGCCCAUUUUUGCUGCCUCUCUCUCUCUCCACCCCCCUUCCCGUGAGGAUGGACACCGGGGUUUCAGCGGCCCUCACCAGAUCGGCUCGAGGUCCGUCGUCUGUGGAUUACGUCACACAAUACGCUUUCUACAGCCACUCGGACAAACUAAAUUACAUUCUACUUUCACG